UUGUCCCUGCCGUGUUCGUGACUGGACCAUACAUUCUCUGAACCUAUGUCUUAUGGCAUACAGGUUGCGUGAAUGUAGGGGCUGGUGUGAUCGUCUCACUGUCAGACGAACCCGACGCCCUUCUGAUCGCGACCACCUUGAACCUCACGGUUCGAGAUGCCGGUCCUGACGGCACAGGCGGGGCAUCU
rfam:Bordetella genomosp. 8 strain AT19157, complete genome.